UCCUACGGGAGGCAGCAGUGGGGAAUCUUGCACAAUGGGCGCAAGCCUGAUGCAGCAACGCCGCGUGCGGGAAGAAGGCCUUAGGGUUGUAAACCGCUUUCAGUAGGGAAGAAAAUGACGGUACCUACAGAAGAAGGUGCGGCCAACUACGUGCCAGCAGCCGCGGUAACACGUAGGCACCAAGCGUUAUCCGGAUUUAUUGGGCGUAAAGAGCUCGUAGGCGGUUCAGUCAGUCGGGUGUGAAAACUUGAGGCUUAACCUCAAGAGGUCACUCGAUACUACUGUGACUAGAGUGCGGUAGGGGAGCGGGGAAUUCCUGGUGUAGCGGUGAAAUGCGCAGAUAUCAGGAGGAACACCAGUGGCGAAGGCGCCGCUCUGGGCCGUAACUGACGCUGAGGAGCGAAAGCAUGGGUAGCAAACAGGAUUAGAUACCCUGGUAGUCCAUGCCGUAAACGUUGGGCACUAGGUGUGGGUCUCAACCAACGAGAUCCGCGCCGUCGCUAACGCAUUAAGUGCCCCGCCUGGGGAGUACGGUCGCAAGACUAAAACUCAAAUGAAUUGACGG
rnacentral:rRNA from 1 species